rnacentral:rRNA from 1 species
AUGCGUAGGGGGCUAGCGUUGUCCGGAAUUACUGGGCGUAAAGGGCGCGCAGGCGGCUGGAUAAGUCACACGUGAAAUGCACUGGCUUAACCAGUGAAGGUCGUGUGAAACUGUCUGGCUUGAGUGCAGUAGAGGAAAGUGGAAUUCCUAGUGUAGCGGUGAUAUGCGUAGAUAUUAGGAGGAACACCAGUGGCGAAGGCGGCUUUCUGGGCUGCAACUGACGCUGAGGCGCGAAAGCUGGGGGAGCGAACGGGAUUAGAUACCCCGGUAGUCCCAGCCGUAAACGAUGAUCACUAGGUGUAGGAGGUAUCGACCCCUUCUGUGCCGAAGCAGACGCAUUAAGUGAUCCGCCUGGGGAGUACGUCCGCAAGGAUGAA